rnacentral:rRNA from 1 species
UGCUCAGACGAACGCUGGCGGCGUGCUUAACACAUGCAAGUCGAACGGAAAGGCCUUCGGGGUACUCGAGUGGCGAACGGGUGAGUAACACGUGGGUGAUCUGCCUGCACUUUGGGAUAAGCUGGGAAACUGGGUCUAAUACCGAAUAGGAUCAUGGCCUUCAUGGGUUGUGGUGGAAAGCUUUUGCGGUGUGGGAUGGGCCCGCGGCCUAUCAGCUUGUUGGUGGGGUAAUGGCCUACCAAGGCGACGACGGGUAGCCGGCCUGAGAGGGUGACCGGCCACACUGGGACUGAGAUACGGCCCAGACUCCUACGGGAGGCAGCAGUGGGGAAUAUUGCACAAUGGGCGCAAGCCUGAUGCAGCGACGCCGCGUGAGGGAUGACGGCCUUCGGGUUGUAAACCUCUUUCACCAGGGACGAAGCGCAAGUGACGGUACCUGGAGAAGAAGCACCGGCCAACUACGUGCCAGCAGCCGCGGUAAUACGUAGGGUGCGAGCGUUGUCCGGAAUUACUGGGCGUAAAGAGCUCGUAGGUGGUUUGUCGCGUUGUUCGUGAAAACUCACAACUCAAUUGUGGGCGUGCGGGCGAUACGGGCAGACUAGAGUACUGCAGGGGAGACUGGAAUUCCUGGUGUAGCGGUGGAAUGCGCAGAUAUCAGGAGGAACACCGGUGGCGAAGGCGGGUCUCUGGGCAGUAACUGACGCUGAGGAGCGAAAGCGUGGGGAGCGAACAGGAUUAGAUACCCUGGUAGUCCACGCCGUAAACGGUGGGUACUAGGUGUGGGUUCCUUCCUUGGGAUCCGUGCCGUAGCUAACGCAUUAAGUACCCCGCCUGGGGAGUACGGCCGCAAGGCUAAAACUCAAAGGAAUUGACGGGGGCCCGCACAAGCGGCGGAGCAUGUGGAUUAAUUCGAUGCAACGCGAAGAACCUUACCUGGGUUUGACAUGCACAGGACGCCAGUAGAGAUAUUGGUUCCCUUGUGGCCUGUGUCCAG